rnacentral:lncRNA from 10 species
GGGAGUGACUUUUGUGAGCUCACUUCCAGAAUGGAAGAAGUGAUUUCACCUGAUGAAUAAACCUCCCAGCAUUCUUUAACAGUUGGGUGCAGCUGAAACCUGCAUCAGGAGUAGCUAGUCUCAUAGUAUCAAACACCUUCUUUCUAGCUGACACAGCUUUUAAGACUGGAAACCUGAACAAAGUGAGAAAGAACUAGGCUCCCGAAAAAAAGAAAAGGAAAAAAGAAAGUUGAGUUCUCUUACUGGCUCCAGAAGGAACUCCUAAAGCCACUCCAUCGCAGAAGCAACAGGGACGCAAAUCCGUGGAGUCUUCAGCCCCUGAGUGUGCUGCUCUCACAGGCUAAGCUGCAGCUCCAGGGAGAUGAGCAGGUGACCAUGUGUGCCUCAGUGAAUCAGCGCUCUUAGGGUAGAGCUCACCUGGUUGAGUAAUGAAUUAACUUCCUAAUUGGAAUCAGGGAGGAAUUCUCAGAGGACAAAUUCUUGGAGCUGCUCAGGUGUUGAUUUCUAAACAGAAUGCAACUAAGUUCAUCUAUAUUCCACACCAGCACGUGUCCAUCUCCAUUACCACCAUGUGACUGAAAGCACGCUGUAAUAUUCCAAGGAGCUGACACAAUCUUUUUUUUGGAACAAUGUUAAUUUUGGAUUGUAUUUAGGUAUAUUCAAUAGCCAUAAAUCAUAGAGUUACCAAGAAUGAGAUUGAGAGUCUGUUGGUACUCACAGUCUUCAUUCAAAGGCAUGACCCAAUUGUUCUUUACACUGGAAAAUAUACAACAUAUAACAUGCUAUAGGAUUCUCAAAGUAGGUAUCUAAAGUUUUGGUUAAAAAUAUUUUACAGUCAGACUCUUGAGUAUUUAUGUAUAUUUUUAAAUGAUUCUCUUGAUACAAGUAAUAUCACAACAAAAAUAAAAUUAAAAUAUUAAUUAUCACACUCCCAUAUCAAGUUGCUUUUCCUAUCCAUGUUUUUUUUUUCCAAUCCAUCUUUUUAGAUUAAUGUAUGCUUUGUAUAUUAGAAGACAGCUAUAUAAUUUGGUCUUUUGUCCUUGUUAGCCUAAUUUACUAUGAAUAUUUUUCUUUUUAAAAGAUAAUGUUCAUAAUUAAUCAUUUCAAUGUAUAGAUAACACUCUAUUGAAUGGAUGUACCUUGUUUUACCACUUCCUUCUUGUUGGAUAUUAAGGUUGUUUCUAUAAUAUUGUUAAGAUAACGCUACAGCAUAUAACUUCACACAAAACCUCUUUCCCUUUCUCUUGGAUUCUUUCUUUAGUCAUCAACUUAAAAAAGCAGAAUUAGGCCAGGCAGGGUGGCUCACACCUGUAAUUUCAGCACUUUGGGAGGCUGGUCAGGAGUUCAAGACCAGCCUGACCAACAUGAUGAAACCCUGUCUCUACUAAAAAUACAAAAAUUAGCUGGGUGUGGUGGUGUGUGCCUGUAAUCUCAGCUACUUGGCAGGCUGAGGCAGGAAAACUGCUUGGACCGGGAGGCAGAGACUGCAGUGAGCUGAGAUUACCACACUGCACUCCAGCCUGGGUGACAAGAGUGAAACUGUCUCAAAAAUAAUAAUAAAUAAAAAGCAAAAUUAUAUUUAUAAUUGCUAACUUGAUUAUUUUAUUCUCAUAAAACAUUAGCUCCUUGGUGUAGAAGGCCUUCAAAGAAUAAAGAUGUAGCAUUUGGAGGAGGUUACGAAGCAUAGCAACUGAGAGUGGAUGGAGUCUUCUCCAUAAGAGAACCAUUUAUUUUCUCAAAAAACAUUAACUUAGUAUUUUGCAUGUUACAGGUGCUCUAUUAGGCCCUGAGGGUAGAACAGUGACCAAAAAGACACAGUUCUUGUCCUCUUAGAGUUUGAAUCUAGUAUGGGAGUCAUUUUAAUCAAAUAAUUGGACAAAUAAAUAAUAAAUCACACUUCUAUUAAUAGCCACAACAAUAAGAGGUGCAUGUGCCAUGAAAGUUUAACUAUGGGAGUGACCAAGGGAAGAGGCUAGAGGGAGUAAUAUUUGAAAUGAGUUUUCAAGGAUGAGCAGGAGUUAAAGUAGGGUGCUAGGUGUUUUCUAGGCAGUGGGGAGAGCAUCUGAGCUAGCCCUGUGGUAGGAGGGGAAAGGCUCAUUGCAGACAAGAAAACCAUGCUAUGGUAGGUGGGGCACAGACAUUGAGGCAUCUUUUUUCUAUGACAGGAAAGAACAUUGCUCUAGAAUAUUUACUCUAAAUGUGUAUGGGAGAAUUGAAUCAAUGUCUUUAUUGUUUUUACUCUGCGAACUUCUCAGCUACUAUAAAAACUGGUUCUAAUAAAAAGGCCUUCAAAGUUGCUUUGUGGGCUAUUUAUGCUUAUUAGAAUAUUCCAUUUAUAAUAAGAAAAAGCUGCCAUAUUAUUAUAUAGCUCUUUUUUAAAAGGAAAUUCACAUCUGUAACUUUAUGUCAGUAAAAGACAUUUCAUUGUCAAGAUGAUCUCUGAGUGAAUAUAAACAUUCUGGUUGACAUUAAAGUUGGCCAAUUCUCUGUGGAGACUAUAUAUUGCAUACGAAAGGAAGUCAAAUUGCGUAAGCAUCUCUUAUUCUCAGAGUUCUCCAAUCUAAUAACUUCUUCACUGGGAUAUCAACUUUCUAAAUGUCAGGACAAAUUACAGCUAUUUAUGACAGUCUUUCUUGAGCUGUUAAAGACUCAAAAUGCCUGCCCUUACCCUCUGGCAUGGAGAUAGUGAUGAGUGGAGUUUGCAGUGCUUUGGGUCCAUAUAGAUGCUCACAUGUGAUAAAUGGGUGUGUUACGGCCACCUCACAUUUAUAUAGCACUUUAAAUUUUCUAAAGCAUCUUCAUGUUUACUUACUGUAUUAAAUGUCCAGUUUUAGAACCGGAAUGGACUUUAAGGGUCAUUUCAUUUAAAUGGGGUUUUUAAUGAAAAAAGCAUGUGUGUCAUGUAAUCUAAGACUAUUUUCUAACUGCGACUUGUGAGUUAGUUGGUUACAAAAUCAGUUUAGGGGAUUGUGACUAGGAUUUCAAAAGUAUAAUAUAUUGAAAUGCAGUAUGAAUAAUGUUUUCUGAAACUUUUGUUUCAGUAGCAUUUAUGUUUGUAAGCAUAAGCAUGUGUUUAUUUGGUCAUGCUUGAAAUUUAAAUACCAUGAUAAAGUGAAUAAGUAGUGGUAUUACUGGUUUUUAAAAAGCAAUGGGUUUGCGAGCUGUGUUCAAACUGUAGCCUUGUAACCCACUAGCUAAGUGACUGUUGGAAAGUCAAAUAAAUUCUCUGCAACACAGUCUCCUCAUUCUAAUACCAAUUGUGUCAAUCUGGCUCAAGUUAUAACAGAGGGCAUAUAUGAAAAAGGUUCCCAGAAGAUGUUUAAUCGAUAUUAAUAGUUUUUGAAAUCCAACACAUAUUCACUUAUAAACUGAGAGACUUACAAAUGAAUGGCCAGGUAUUAUUGACUUAAUUUUACAAAUGAAGAAACGGAAGCCAAUGGGGGCAAAUGGCUAAUUCAAGACCACUUAACAAGAAUGAAUCACAAUCAAAUCCAGCUUUCCUGGCUCUUGGUCUUUCGUACUUACCUCCAUUCUUGUCCCUUACCUUUGGAAUUUCUUUUCCUGCCUCAGGUUCUUUAUUCCUUUUUAUAUUAAGCAGAAAAUAAAUAACAACCCUCUUGUGUUUUAUUAACCUAAACCUCUGACCUCAGAGUACCAUGCUUACGUAUUACAGAGGACGUCGCUAACCAUAAACUAUUGACUUACAUCAACAGAGCAUGCAAUAUUGAAGAAAGAAACAAUGGGAUGUCAGAAACUUUUAUUUGCAGUAUUUUUAAUUUCAGUGAUUAACUGUGAUUUUUAAAUAAGACAUUUAAUCUUUCUGUGUCUUACCAGAAAAGUUGGAUUGAACUAGGCUAUAGCUGAGAACUUUUUUGCUCAAAAUAUUUUGAGAAUAUAAGUAUUCAUUACUUACCAGAAGCGAUUAUUAAUGGUGAAAUGCAUAAGGUGAUCAGUAGUUCUUGUUUACUAAGCCACUCUAUACAUUGUUCUAGAGGCUUUCUAUUAAAAUAUUUCAGUCUCAGGUUUGUAGAGACCUCCCAUGGGAAUUAAUGUAUUCAUUUGCAUUUAUAUGU